UACGAAGGGGGCUAGCGUUGUUCGGAAUCACUGGGCGUAAAGCGCACGCAGGCGGAUUGAUAAGUCAGGGGUGAAAUCCCGGAGCUCAACUUCGGAAUUGCCUUUGAUACUGUCUAUCUUCGAGUUCGGGAGAGGUUGGCGGAAUUCCUAGUGUAGAGGUGAAAUUCGUAGAUAUUAGGAAGAACACCAGUGGCGAAGGCGGCCAACUGGCCCGAUACUGACGCUCAUGUGCGAAAGCGUGGGGAGCAAAC
rnacentral:rRNA from 1 species